GCUAAGAGGCUCCUGCGGUGUGUGUCUGUAGUGUAGCUACCGAGGAAGCUAAGGCAGGAGGAUUGCUUGAGCCCAGGAGUUCUGGGCUGUAGUGCACUAAGCCAGCUGGGUUUCCACACUAAGUUCAGCAUCAAUAUAGUGACCCUCUGAAACCAGGAGACCACCAGGUUGCCUAAGGAGAGGUGACCAGCCCAAGUUGGAAAUGGAGCAGGUCAAAACUCCUGUGCUGAGCAGUAGUGGGACUGAGCCUGUGAUCAGCCACUGCACUGCAGCCUGGGCAACAUAGCAAGACUUUGUUUUU
ensembl:misc_RNA Metazoa_SRP Metazoan signal recognition particle RNA